AGUGAACGCUGGCGGUAGGCCUAACACAUGCAAGUCGAACGGCAGCACAGUAAGAGCUUGCCCUUACGGGUGGCGAGUGGCGGACGGGUGAGGAAUACAUCGGAAUCUACUUUUUCGUGGGGGAUAACGUAGGGAAACUUACGCUAAUACCGCAUACGACCUACGGGUGAAAGCAGGGGAUCUUCGGACCUUGCGCGAUUGAAUGAGCCGAUGUCGGAUUAGCUAGUUGGCGGGGUAAAGGCCCACCAAGGCGACGAUCCGUAGCUGGUCUGAUAGGAUGAUCAGCCACACUGGAACUGAGACACGGUCCAGACUCCUACGGGAGGCAGCAGUGGGGAAUAUUGGACAAUGGGCGCAAGCCUGAUCCAGCCAUACCGCGUGGGUGAAGAAGGCCUUCGGGUUGUAAAGCCCUUUUGUUGGGAAAGAAAAGCAGCAGGUUAAUACCCCGCUGUUCUGACGGUACCCAAAGAAUAAGCACCGGCUAACUUCGUG
rnacentral:rRNA from 1 species